rnacentral:rRNA from 1 species
UACGUAGGGUGCGAGCGUUAAUCGGAAUUACUGGGCGUAAAGCGUGCGCAGGCGGUGAUGUAAGACAGGUGUGAAAUCCCCCGGGCUUAACCCUGGGAACUGCAUUUGUGACUGCAUCGCUGGAGUGCGGCAGAGGGGGAUGGAAUUCCGCGUGUAGCAGUGAAAUGCGUAGAUAUGCGGAGGAACACCGAUGGCGAAGGCAAUCCCCUGGGCCUGCAACUGACGCUCAUGCACGAAAGCGUGGGGAGCAAACAGG